UACGGGGGGGGCAAGCGUUGUUCGGAAUUACUGGGCGUAAAGGGCUCGUAGGCGGCCAACUAAGUCAGACGUGAAAUCCCCAGGCUCAACCUGGGAACUGCGUCUGAUACUGGUUGGCUUGAAUCCGGGAGAGGGAUGCAGAAUUCCAGGUGUAGCGGCGAAAUGCGUAGAUAUCUGGAGGAAUACCGGUGGCGAAGGCGGCAUCCUGGACCGGCAUUGACGCUGAGGAGCGAAAGCUAGGGGAGCAAACGGG
rnacentral:rRNA from 1 species